GGUUUCUUAAGUCUGAUGUGAAAGCCCCCGGCUCAACCGGGGAGGGUCAUUGGAAACUGGGGAACUGGAGUGCAGAAGAGGAGAGUGGAAUUCCACGUGUAGCGGUGAAAUGCGUAGAGAUGUGGAGGAACACCAGUGGCGAAGGCGACUCUCUGGUCUGUAACUGACGCUGAGGCGCGAAAGCGUGGGGAGCGAACAGGAUUAGAUACCCUGGUAGUCCACGCCGUAAACGAUGAGUGCUAAGUGUUAGAGGGUUUCCGCCCUUUAGUGCUGCAGCAAACGCAUUAAGCACUCCGCCUGGGGAGUACGGUCGCAAGACUGAAACUCAAAGGAAUUGACGGGGGCCCGCACAAGCGGUGGAGCAUGUGGUUUAAUUCGAAGCAACGCGAAGAACCUUACCAGGUCUUGACAUCCUCUGACAACCCUAGAGAUAGGGCUUCCCCUUCGGGGGCAGAGUGACAGGUGGUGCAUGGUUGUCGUCAGCUCGUGUCGUGAGAUGUUGGGUUAAGUCCCGCAACGAGCGCAACCCUUGAUCUUAGUUGCCAGCAUUCAGUUGGGCACUCUAAGGUGACUGCCGGUGACAAACCGGAGGAAGGUGGGGAUGACGUCAAAUCAUCAUGCCCCUUAUGACCUGGGCUACACACGUGCUACAAUGGGCAGAACAAAGGGCAGCGAAGCCGCGAGGCUAAGCCAAUCCCACAAAUCUGUUCUCAGUUCGGAUCGCAGUCUGCAACUCGACUGCGUGAAGC
rnacentral:rRNA from 2 species